AAAUUAAAUAAUCCUAACUAUUAUAUCAAGAGUUAAAAUGGGGAAAACCCAAACUGUAUGACAGUUAUAACUCUAGGGAAGAAUGGACUGAAAAAGCAGUGAACUAAAUUCAUAGUACAAAAUCCAAUUCUACUCCUGGGUAGAGAAAGGUCCAGGUCAGGAGCUGCAAAUGGGACACACCGUAUAUCAAUGUAUUGAGAAUAAGACAUAGACCUAAAUAAGGC